GAAAAAAAAAAAGGAAAGAAAAGAAAAAAAAAUUAAAAUAAAUAGACCAUUCCAGAUGGUGAUCUACCCUUCCCCCCAAUUAUCACAAAAGGAGCUAUAAUCACUAAUUUAUUAAUAAUGGUUACUGGUACCUUUACAAUAAUGUACAAUCCAAUGUAAAAAAUUUAUACCACUUCAGUUUGGUUUGAUCCUAUAAAUUUUCAACAGAUGUCUUAAAAUUUAAAAGCAGGCUGAUUAGUUUGGAACCAGACUUCAAGUAGAGCUAACAUUUGGUGAAUAAGAAAACAUCACAUUACAUUUUGGAUGUAUGAAAGAAAACUUGACCAUUUGAAGAUGUAUGAAUAAAGAAAUGUACUAUAGAUACUACUUUAGGAAAACACUGUUUGGUAAGUGUUCCAGUCUGAUAUUUUAAGUGUGCAUUUCCUAUACUUGUAUAAAAAUCUUUGACAUUUGCAACAGUAUUGUGACUUUUAAGUGGAUUUCUGAACAUGAUCGUUGAAAGUUGAUACAGCAGUUUCAGGAAAUAAAUGCAUUCUUUGUAGAAUGAGGGGGUGGGAGAUUACAUAUUUACCUUUCAAAAUUUAUCAUUUCAUUUGCAAGUGUUUCUUCCCCUCCUGAGAUUAUAGUGAUUAUAUUCAGUGUCACAUUAAAAAAAAUCAACUUUCUUCCCGUACUGGGCUCCUCACAGUCACAAACUGUAAUUCCAACACCAUAAUCCUCUGUCAGUGGGAUAACUAAUGGAUGCUGUUCCUCUUUUGUUUUUUUCCUCCCACACUUAGGGUUAAAGUUGUAUAUAUGUUCUUGAUGGUAAUACUAUUUCAUAGGAAUGUUUUGGCUUACAUUUGGUACAUGUCUUAUUAUUUAAAAUUUCAAAAUCGAUUUCUUUUGUCAAAAUAGUGACUUUACUCAAAAACUUCUUUACUUAGAUCUGUGAUAUAUUUUUAUGUAGUCUCUUGUAUGUUGACUAUGUGCUAUUCUGAUUCAUUAGGUAAGUUUGUUUUCUUUUCUUUUUAGUAGUCGUGAAAGGUGCCAAAUUGGCAGAGGCUCACGUUUCUUCUCUUUACACCAAACAGCAGAGAGAGAUCAUCAUUGCCUGAAUUUAGCUUUGUGACUACAGCAGCAAGACCUGUUCCUGUCUGGAGACGACUGUUAUAAUAUCAUCCUAUCAUUUUAUGUUUGCUCUUUAUCAAUUUGAAUAGAUGUUUACAUGUACUAUAAUUCGCAUUUUGUCUUUUUGCAGUUCUCUAAUUGCUACAUCUGAGUCCAGAAGUAUGUCUGAGUGUGUGCUUUGUCUGACUUUGCUCUUAAACGUCUUCUCCCCUUACUUUAUAGCCAUUUAAUUUUUAAACACUAAGAAGGAAAAAGACCUCUUGGCUUCCUAAUAUGAGAUAAGUUCAGUCUCAGCCAAGUUGAAAAUUGUGUCUAGGAAAUCUAUAAAGCCAUGAUAUUGUGUUCAUUAGCAUGAACAAUUUAGAAUGAAGAAAAUGAUUAAAAAGUUAAGCAUCGGUCUGUUUUUAAUUUUUCCGGGUUUUAGGAUGCAUUUCUGGGGUUAGGAUAGUCACUUAAAUAAUUUUGAACAGAUGCUAAAAUACUUUUUUAUACACUGUAAUAACUUGCCUAUUUCUUCUAAAUAUACUUAACUGAAAUUGUUGCCAAGGCCACUUACCCAAAUAAUUUUUUUAAAAAGUUUCUUAGCUCUUCAAAGCCAACAAGGAGAAUAAUUUUCUUUUCAAGUAAUACAGGAUGAUCUGUGGAUUAUAAAUAUUGAGAAAUAUCUAUUAAAUGUCUAAUUUACACAGUUUUUCCAUAUUUUCCUCACUUGCAAUCAAGACAUCAAAGACAAUCUUAAAAGCAAGAGGAAAUUGUGUUGUGUGUCUAACGUUGUUUAAAAGAUGUAUGUUCAUAAUAUUUAUUUAUAAGCAAUAUGGGUUAGAAUUAUUUAUAAAGAAUGUGAUUAAAUCUGAUCCUAAAUAUUCACCCCAAAUACCUUUUUUUAUAAUGAGCAUCAUAUAAAGCUUUCAGAAAAUUAAUUUGAGUAUUCCUUCGUAGAUUCCCAUGAGGCAUUUGAGAAGUUGGAAAGUUAUACUUUAUUAGAAAAGCCCAAUUAUACUUGACUCUUUUCACCCUUGUUUUUUUAGUUUCUUUAAGCCAUGCUCAUAUUUUCACUUUUUUUUUUUGCGCAGUUGACUGUUAUGCAAACACUUUUUUCUUGAGUGUGCAGUGCAUUUGUCUUCAUGAAAAAUAAAAAGAAUGAACACAUCAAUCAUAAUGUAAAUUAUUUUGAUCCACAUUAGUUGAUAAUUGCUUUGUUAAUUUUAGGUUUGUGUUUAAAGGCAAAGUACAUAUAUUUCGGAAGGUCUUCUAAUAUAAUUAUGACCUAGUAGCAUACAGGACAUUUUUAAAAUUAGAUUUUUGUUUUAGUUCAAACUAGCAUGUUUGUUUAGUUGCAAACUAGCAUAUAGCCACAAGGAGUUCAGAGAUACUUUUCCCAAGUUAGUUCAAUAUUUUUUCUUUUCAAGGAAAGAAGGUUCUCUUCCCUGAUGGUAGUGACUUACUUGCUAGGUUAGAAACCCAAAGAACAUAGACUGAAGAGAGACCAUACUUGUUAACAGUUUUGAUUGGUUCUUGGAUGUGGACCAUAUACCAGCACCCUCAACAUUACUUUGUCAUCUUUCUUUUUCUUUCCCUUGCUUUUAAAUUAAAAGACAAAAUAAAGCAAAGCAAAAUUAAACAUGCCAUGGGGAAUCAGAAGUCGAGAUGAUUUGACUCUCAGCAAGAUCAUUGUACUUUUUGAAAAUUUCUAUGAGAGCCAAUAGGUCAGUUACAUAUUUAAAUUCCUAUGUGUUUAUUAAUUAAAGAUAAGGAUUUUCAUUAUUUUGUUUUCCUGAAUAGGAUUCUCAUGGAGCUAUGUGUAGAUAACUGUACAGAAUCACUUUUGUGUAAUUGAAUGAAGUGGUUUACCUCUGCAUGAUUGCAUUAUGGAAGCCUUUUAUAUAUCUUUAUAUUUUUCAAUAUACUUAGAUUUUACACUAUUAGCAGUUCUAGUCAUGCUAUAUUUGUUUUUUUUUAAAUAGAGUUUAUAAAUAUUUAUGCUCAAAAUACAGAUCAACUGAAUAUUUUUGGUCUUGUUUACAAGAUAAAUAAUACUUUAAAGUGAUGCAGCCCCUCAAGUGUCUUAGGAAAAAGUUAUUGGUGCUAAAAAACCUUUCAAUAUCAUUUUUGAACCUGUUAUCUAGACUUCGCUAGGCUUUAAUGUAUGAUCACUUGUGACUUACUCUAAUCUAACAGCAUAAAGUGGUCUGUGGUAAGUCAGGUAAAGAGCCCAGCCUGUUAGAAUUUAAAAAUAUGAUACAGAAUUACAGUACACUUAUUUGUGCCCAGCUUCCAAAAAAAGUAAGUAGUUUCUUCAGUUUGUCAUUAGCUCUUUUGAUAAGAAGAACUUUAAUCUGGCUAGAAUUUAAAAAAAAAAAAAAAAA